CCCUUAGAUGUUCUGGGCCGCACGCGCGCUACACUGACGGAGUCAACGAGUUGUCCUGCAUCGGAAGGUGUGGGUAAUCUUUUGAAACUUCGUCGUGCUGGGGAUAGAUCUUUGCAAUUUUCGAUCUUGAACGAGGAAUUCCUAGUAAGCGUGAUUCAUCAGAUCGCGUUGAUUACGUCCCUGCCCUUUGUACACACCGCCCGUCGCUACUACCGAUUGAAUGGUUUAGUGAGGCCUCGGGACUGGCGCGCUCGAGUAGCAAUACACCUGCGCGCCGGGAACUUGGUCAAACUUGAUCAUUUAGAGGAAGUAAAAGUCGUAGCA
rnacentral:rRNA from 1 species